rnacentral:rRNA from 1 species
UGGGGAAUUUUGGACAAUGGGCGAAAGCCUGAUCCAGCAAUGCCGCGUGUGUGAAGAAGGCCUUCGGGUUGUAAAGCACUUUUGUCCGGAAAGAAAUCCUUGGCUCUAAUACAGUCGGGGGAUGACGGUACCGGAAGAAUAAGCACCGGCUAACUACGUGCCAGCAGCCGCGGUAAUACGUAGGGUGCAAGCGUUAAUCGGAAUUACUGGGCGUAAAGCGUGCGCAGGCGGUUUGCUAAGACCGAUGUGAAAUCCCCGGGCUCAACCUGGGAACUGCAUUGGUGACUGGCAGGCUAAGUAUGGCAGAGGGGGUAGAAUUCCACGUGUAGCAGUGAAAUGCGUAGAGAUGUGGAGGAAUACCGAUGGCGAAGGCAGCCCCUGGGCCAAUACUGAUGCUCAUGCACGAAAGCGUGGGAGCAAACAGGAUUAGAUACCCUGGUAGUCCACGCCCUAAACGAUGUCAACUAGUUGUUGGGGAUUCAUUUCCUUAGUAACGUAGCUAACGCGUGAAGUUGACCGCCUGGGGAGUACGGUCGCAAGAUUAAAACUUAAAUGAAUUGACGGGGUCAUAGCUGUUUCC